CCUACGGGAGGCUGCAGUGGGGAAUAUUGCGCAAUGGGCGAAAGCCUGACGCAGCGACGCCGCGUGAGGGAUGAAGGUCUUCGGAUCGUAAACCUCUGUCAGCAGGGAAGAACGGUCACUGUGCUAAUCAGCAGUGAAUUGACGGUACCUGCAAAGGAAGCACCGGCUAACUCCGUGCCAGCAGCCGCGGUAAUACGGGGGGUGCGAGCGUUAAGCGGAAUUACUGGGCGUAAAGCGAUCGUAGGCGGGAAGUCAAGCCAAGGGUGAAAUCCCCGCGCUUAACGUGGGAACUGCCUUUGAAACUGGCGAGCUGGAGUGUGUGAGAGGUUAGUGGAAUUCCAGGUGUAGGAGUGAAAGCCGUAGAUAUCUGGAGGAACAUCAGUGGCGAAGGCGACUAACUGGCACAUAACUGACGCUGAGGAGCGAAAGCGUGGGUAGCAAACAGGAUUAGAUACCCUGGUAGUC
rnacentral:rRNA from 1 species